GAUGAACGCUGGCGGCGUGCCUAAUACAUGCAAGUCGAGCGAACGGACGAGAAGCUUGCUUCUCUGAUGUUAGCGGCGGACGGGUGAGUAACACGUGGAUAACCUACCUAUAAGACUGGGAUAACUUCGGGAAACCGGAGCUAAUACCGGAUAAUAUUUUGAACCGCAUGGUUCAAAAGUGAAAGACGGUCUUGCUGUCACUUAUAGAUGGAUCCGCGCUGCAUUAGCUAGUUGGUAAGGUAACGGCUUACCAAGGCAACGAUGCAUAGCCGACCUGAGAGGGUGAUCGGCCACACUGGAACUGAGACACGGUCCAGACUCCUACGGGAGGCAGCAGUAGGGAAUCUUCCGCAAUGGGCGAAAGCCUGACGGAGCAACGCCGCGUGAGUGAUGAAGGUCUUCGGAUCGUAAAACUCUGUUAUUAGGGAAGAACAUAUGUGUAAGUAACUGUGCACAUCUUGACGGUACCUAAUCAGAAAGCCACGGCUAACUACGUGCCAGCAGCCGCGGUAAUACGUAGGUGGCAAGCGUUAUCCGGAAAUAUUGGGCGUAAAGCGCGCGUAGGCGGUUUUUUAAGUCUGAUGUGAAAGCCCACGGCUCAACCGUGGAGGGUCAUUGGAAACUGGAAAACUUGAGUGCAGAAGAGGAAAGUGGAAUUCCAUGUGUAGCGGUGAAAUGCGCAGAGAUAUGGAGGAACACCAGUGGCGAAGGCGACUUUCUGGUCUGUAACUGACGCUGAUGUGCGAAAGCGUGGGGAUCAAACAGGAUUAGAUACCCUGGUAGUCCACGCCGUAAACGAUGAGUGCUAAGUGUUAGGGGGUUUCCGCCCCUUAGUGCUGCAGCUAACGCAUUAAGCACUCCGCCUGGGGAGUACGACCGCAAGGUUGAAACUCAAAGGAAUUGACGGGGACCCGCACAAGCGGUGGAGCAUGUGGUUUAAUUCGAAGCAACGCGAAGAACCUUACCAAAUCUUGACAUCCUUUGACAACUCUAGAGAUAGAGCCUUCCCCUUCGGGGGACAAAGUGACAGGCGGUGCAUGGUUGUCGUCAGCUCGUGUCGUGAGAUGUUGGGUUAAGUCCCGCAACGAGCGCAACCCUUAAGCUUAGUUGCCAUCAUUAAGUUGGGCACUCUAAGUUGACUGCCGGUGACAAACCGGAGGAAGGUGGGGAUGACGUCAAGUCAUCAUGCCCCUUAUGAUUUGGGCUACACACGUGCUACAAUGGACAAUACAAAGGGCAGCGAAACCGCGAGGUCAAGCAAAUCCCAUAAAGUUGUUCUCAGUUCGGAUUGUAGUCUGCAACUCGACUACAUGAAGCUGGAAUCGCUAGUAAUCGUAGAUCAGCAUGCUACGGUGAAUACGUUCCCGGGUCU
rnacentral:rRNA from 1 species